GGUCUCGUGGUGUAGCGGUUAUCACGCCUGCUUCACACGCAGGAGGUCGCCGGUUCAACUCCGGCCGAGAUCA
rnacentral:tRNA from 1 species